ACCUUUCACCUGACUGCUUGUGUAUCCUUACACAGAGUAUGUAAUAGCACAGUGAUAUAAUCUCUUGUAAGGUAAGUAUCAUCCUAGAUACACCUUCUUGGGUUGUUAGUCAUUCCUGCAUUUAAACUAGCAAGAUUUAGAAGAUCUUUGAUACUUCAGUGAGUCCUAAUAGUGCAUGUAUAAGAGGGAAAAUAAAUGCAAAUGUACUGCCUCAUGGUUCAGUGUUUUAUUCUUUUUGAUAGGUGAUUAGAUAAUUUCAUCUUUAUCUUUUUUUAAUAUCUAAAAAAUCUAUUUUAUAAAUGCCAUUUGGUGACCACUUUUUUCACUGGAAAGUACUUUUUGUUUUGGGGGAAUUGUUUUAUUCCAAACACUUUUAAAAUGGGAAAAACUCACCUCUGGUUUUAUGACAAUGACUGCAUUGUUAAAGAAGCAUCCUUAUUCUGAAUAUUUAGUUAAAAAAAUACAUUGUAUAAGCACAGAUAAUUUUAAAAAUCAAAGCUGUAAUCACCUUAAUUAUUCAUAUACUGAAUAUCUAAUUGGGGAUUAUAUAAGAUUUUGUCAUUCCUCUUGUUAUCUUUUUAUUAAUUGUUUUUUUAUAAUUUUCUUGCUGUAUUUUAUCUAGAUGUAUAUGUAUUUACUUGUACAAAAGGAGAGUCAUGGAAGGAAUUAAGUUGACAUUUAAAAUUAAAGUGUUCAAAAACAUUUGAAUAUAUGUGUCGGGACACUUUCAAAGCUAAAUAAGACAUCUAAAAAAAGGAGAAUUUUGUCAGGUUAUGUGUUUUGGUCUUAUUUAUUCUGUUAUUAAGGUGAUGGUGGCUCUUAGCAAAAGAUGUAUCUUUAAAGCUACUCCAUACUUUAUCUUCUAAAGUAGUUUUACAAGUAUGGUUUGGUCCUCUGCCCUGUAGGAUGAUUGAUUCCCUUUGCUUUUUCUCCUACUUUUAUAUUGCUGUCAGGAAAUAAUCAGCAAGAAGUAAUGGAAUCAAUCAGUGGAAAUCCGAAGCAAGCAUCUAAGUAAAAGAACUUUUCUGGAUAGCAUAAGAUCAGAUCUCCUUUCCUCCACUGUUUUUCACAGUCUGCUUCCUGAGCAUAUUUGAAACAUUUUGUUAAAUGUUCAGGAGUACUCAUUGUAACUGUCCAUUCUAGAUUAAAUUGGCCUUGAUUUAGGUAGCUAGCUUUUUCAUUUUUGCUUUAUUAUAUUUUUUAUUUUUAAACUUUAUUUUGGCAGUUCAAGAUAGAAAUGACAUACUGGAAAAUAAUUGAAAAAUUAACAUUUGUUUUUCAAUAACUGAUUCCCUUACUAAUUUUUAAAUAUUAGCAUUUCUCUGGCAAAAUAUACUGUGGAAAUAUUUGGUAGUCUCAGACCAUUUUUCUCCCUUAUCAAAGUCUUUUUCAUGAAAGAUUUUUCACAUAUACAUUUAUUUUAGUUCUUUUUUAACAUAUUAAUUGAGUGUUGAGGAAGUUAGUUUUAUUUGUGCUGUUAUUUUGGAAUCUUAUAUUUGAGUAUUCAGCAAAUAUAAUUGCUUAGCUAAAUCUGUAUGUCAUUAUUUAUUUACCUACUGAUUUGCCACUACUCUCUUAAGUACAUUAAUAGACACAAUAAUGGAGUGAUUUGGAAGAUGCUUUUGGAGAAGUGAACAAUAUCACAUUUCUAAAUGGAAUCCAAAGGAGAAUGGAAUCCUCCACUGAUACAUGGAUAUUCUUGGUGGUAGUGGUUCAGUGGGAAUUGGAAGUUACAGCUAUGAAGCAGUAUGUGAGCAGGUUUAUAACGCACAUGCACUAAUAGGGCUUGCAGAAGAGAACUUAAAACUUUCUAGACUUUGCUGGAGUCUCUUGAGGGAAAUUACAGCAGGUGAAACUACCCAAGAUAGGGGUUCUAAGGAGGAUACUACCUUCAGAGAAACUGUAGUUAGAGGUAAGUGAUUUCUCCUUAUUUUCUGAAUUCAUACCAUUAACUUACUCUUCUUAGCCCACAAAUAUCAUCAUAUAGCAUCUAAAAUUAGUUUUAUAUUACUGCUUGCCAUUGUAUAUUUUAUUAAUUCUAUAUGUUUUAAAAGGAAUUUCGUAUAAAUAGGGAUUGCAAAACUCUAGUUAAAAGAAACAUUAUAAAAUUGUUCACUCAGACUAUAUAAAAUUUAGGCUCAAUUUUAAUGGUUACUCUUUUAAAAUUAUUUUCCUACCUUUGUUAGUGGACUCUGUUAUUUUUGUCUUACUUGAUAUAGAUGUAGACACAUCCAUAUACACUAACAUAUAUACACACACAAACAUACACAUUGAUAGCUAUAUGUUCUGUUUAUUGUAUAUUGUAUUCAGUGUGCCACAUAUUAUGGGUUUGAUUUCAGACAGUUAAAUGUGAGGUUCUGUUAAAAAUCAAAGUGUUUUGUGUUUUUUUUUAAUUUCUUUUUCUUUUUACCUUCAUCUGAAACACCCAGUUUCUGGAGUUGUUUUAUCUUCAUUCUCAGACAAAUUAAUUUGUAAAUAAUAUUUAAGAUUAAAAUAUGAAUCAAAUUAGCACUCACCUAAUUUAUCAUUAUAGCAGACUUAAUCAAUUUUUAUAGUUGUUUUUCAGCAUGAUUGGUUAGAGAUUAUUUUUAUAAUGAGUACUAAGAAUCUCCUGCAAUUAAAAAAAACCAUCACAAUGUUUUCGUUACUGAAUUGCUUUUUAGCAGAUAUUUAUUAGUUAUCUGAUCUUUAUAUUGCCUGACCAAGUAGGGAAUCAGUGUUUAAGGGCUCUUUUGCCAUUCUGUAUAUCUCAGAUUGAGUUCUAUUCAACACUAGUCUGUUAUAGGAUAUAAUAGAUAUUCUGGGGAAGCCUUCUGUGAUUAAAUAAAUUUGGGAAACUAUACCAGUAAUCCUCUUUGGAAAGAUCACACAAAGUGUGUAUUGUAUGUUAAAUAUUCCAGUGAUUCCUAUAGUAGAGAGAUUUGUGUAAAUGUGUUUAACCUGGCAUUUUCCUUCUUGUGGGACAUCUGUUAAUAUCUUAACAGACAUAUAUCCUUAACUUAGGAUUCUGAGGAACACAUUGUGGAAAAGUCUAUGUUAGAGUAAGGUGAUUUAAGGAAUAUCUCUAUUUUGUUAAGCUAAUAUUUAUGUCUUAAGGAUGUUGAAGGGUAAUGAGAAUACUAAAAUAUGUGUUAUAAUUUCCUGUUUUACAUAUUUUAUUAUUCUGAAAAAAUAUCAGUGAAAGAAUUAUUUGUAUUGGUCCUUUAAAAAGCUUUUGUUCUUAGUGAUUUGUUAGGUAAUUAGAACCUUCAGUGUUCACUGAUUAGAUCAAAGUAAACUUGAAUCUGCUUAUUGCCAAGUACAUUUGAGAGUGUAUUAUUAUAAGGAGAUAGUUCUAAGUACAUUCUAGUAAUACAUAGAAAUUAGACAUAUAAUUUUUUGUUGGUUAAUUAGGAAAGCAUAUAUCGUAAAGAAAAAUGAUUUAGCCUCGUAUGUUUGACAGGAGGGAAAUGCUUUUUUAUUUAACAGUAAAAUUUUAGACACUUUUUAUGGGUAUCUUUUGUCAUAUGACAUAUUUACUUAGUCCCUACUUUAUGGUAGACACUGUUCUAGGCCAUUUUCUUUUAGGAUACUUCUGUUAUUGAAUAAGUAUAUUUAAAUACCUAUUUAUUAUGACAAAAUGUAUUUGAAAGUCUGAAAUUGGGUUUAGCAGCAUGAUGCCAUAUAGUUCCUUUGGAGAGAUAAGAUUACAUAAAAGUUCCCUAAGCAAACAUAGCUUAAUGAUUGUUUUAAAGUUUUGAAUGGAAAGUUGUUAAAUUAGUAAGUAUGAAAUCAAAAGCAUUUCAACAUAUUUAGUUUACACAAGUUGAUAUUAUAAGUCCUACCCUGAUUUAACAUCUGAUUUGGACAUUCUUAUAUGGUUAGCUCAGCCACAUAACUCAUUUGGAUGAAGGACUGGUGCAGAUUUGUCCAAAUAUGUAAGCAUCACAUAAAGAAAAAUCUCUUCCACAGACUGUAUCCUCAUUUUUCCAGGAAUUUGUAUGGUUGGACAUAGUGGGAACCAGUUUAAAAAAUGGGGACUUCUGCUUUCAGGAAGAUGGAGUAGAUGUACAUUGCCCUAUUCCUCCCGGUAAAACAACUGAAAACUUUGAACAUUAUAUAUAAAAUAAACAUAAGAAGACUCUGAAAGGUGGAGAGAAGGCAUACAAACUAGGGAUUUCAGCACCCAAGGAAUCACACGGUGACCUGUCCUAAAAAAAAAAAUGCCUAAAGAAAGUUCCUAAACAGAAGGGAAAUUAUAAGAGGAAUGGUCUUUGAACAUCAGGAAGGAAGGAAGAACAAGGUAAGCAAAAAUAUGGAUAAAUACAAUAGACUUUCCUUCUUUUCCUGAGUUUUCUAAAUUAUGUUUGAUAGUUGAACCAAAAUUAUUACAACACUGUCUAAUGUGGUUCUACAUAUAUUUAGAAGGAAUUUAAGACAUUAUAUUUAUUAUAAAUGGGAGGAGGUAUAAAGACAGGUAGGGUUUCUAUACUCAAAUUAGUAAAAGAAUGGUAUCACUAGACUGGUAAGUUGUAUAUACAUAUGUGUAUAUAUAUUAUACAUAUGUGUGUAUAAAAAUGUAAUACCCAAAACAACCACUGAAAAAGAGAUACACUC